UCCAAUCCAUGGGUUUUGUGAUCCGUUGCACCCCUAUUUGAGAGGGAUGGGAAAUUAUAUUGCAAGCCAUUAUGUCAUUGUUUUAUUAAAAAAAUGUCUGGUACAUAAAUGGUGUAGUUACAUAAGAAAUUAAUUGCUCCAAAUAUAGGCAGUUUAAAACAUAGCAACCGUAUUGUCAAUGUCGGCAACCAAAAGCUGAUGCCUGGUUGCCAAGCCGGCGGCCACUUUAAAAAGUUAGGGUUGAGCCCUGCCAACAGAA